AUUUUCGCUCAGUCUUAAUUAAAUUCGCGUGAUAUAUGAUUUCGCCGCCCCGAAAAUACGAUAUUUUUGCGCGGAUUUAACUUUGCUGAAAACGGUACAAAAACGGUACAAAAAAUCAAAAUUCAACCUCAUACCAAUAGCAAUUCGGGGUCGUAUCUCCGCUCCCAGGCGAGCAACGAGAACGGAUAUAAGGGCUUGGGAAGGAGGUUGACUAAAUUAUCAUUUUUCCGUCUUAAAAUGACAUUGGCAACUUAAAAUUUUCACAAACUUUUUGUUACUAAUGAUCACGUAAUCUGAAAUCAAAAAUGCCCAAGAGAAAAUCAGCAGGACAGUUUCUUUUAUAUGUAACUCAAUCCAAAAAUCUAAUGCCAAAUAUUCUAACACUACACGAAUUUAAAUACAAGUAAAGUAUAUACUGGUAUAUUUUAAUUUAGUAAUUUGCAAAAUAAAUAUGUCUUAUCAAUAGUGCUUGCUUUGUAGAAAAAAGAUAUAAAAGUAAUAAUGUAGAAAUAGUUAUUUUGAACGCACAGUUUGAAUUUAUACUGCUGUAGUUUUAAUCAUACAGUGAACUUUUUAAGUAAUUUCAUUGUAGUCGGCGAAAUAUAAUACUUAAAUGUUUGUAAAAACUUGAAAUAAAUUUUGUUAUUCACACCGUGACCACUUUAAUGGUGUUACCCACAUUAUUACGAUACAGAAGAAACUCGUAUAGAAGAACCACUAUAUUUUUUGUCAGGCUGAAGUUGAUGCAUGGGCACUGGUAAUGUGUGAUCAGGUCAAGUUAGUUCUUAACUUGUUCUUAUAUUUUCUUAUUAAAAACAAUUGUUCCUAUAUAUUACACCAUGCAACAAU